CUGCAGUUACUGAGAAAGAGGUUAUAUUAAAAUGCUUUAUACUUCAUGUGCAUUGUUCUGUUCCCCCCACAACACACUGAAAUAGCGAUUGUUGGCCAUGGUCUUUCUACCCAUAUCAAGGAAUAGCAUUUAACUGAUGCAGUGCAAGGGCCUUGUCAUUAACCUUCAGCUCUUAAGGGCCAUUUAUUCUAUUAAAACAAGCCUGCCUUUUGAAAGCAAUUCUGCAUAAUGCUCCUAGGAAAUACGUGUGUUGGGAAUAGGAGCACCAACAUUAAAAAAAAAAAAAAAAAAAAAAAAAAAAAGAAGCAUUGUUCAAUAUUGGACUAACCUAUAAAUUGCCUCUCCAACAUCUGUAAUACAAAACCUUUUGCAAGUCUGAGCUGUGCAGAUCUCAAAUUCCAGCCUUCUAUAGCUGGAGGGAAUUACUACAGAACUAACACUCCAUAGUUUCCAAUGGCACUAUAUUGAAAUUUAACAAAAUCUAAAAGACUAACCCACUAUGAAUUUGAAAUGUUUUCAAGUGGCUGAUUCUUUGAGAGCUUAACAUGUAAAACUUGAGCUGUUGAAGGUCAUCUGAGCUGUAAAGUCUCCAUCUCAAAGUAUCUCUGCAUUCCAAUUCAAAAUGCAAGCAGCUGAACAAAGUAACUCAAAUUUGGUAUUUCCUCUCUCAAUGAGAGAAGUGUCUUGGAAAGUUCUAAGUGUUUGAAAUUGCUCCAUUGCUACCGAAUCUGAGUUUUGCUACAGGCUUUAGUACUUGGGGGAUGAUAUUAGCUACUGUAUGAACUUUUUUUCUGGAGAUAAAGUUUUGGCUUUGAGUCAAACUGGAGUGUAUAAUUCUCUGAAUUGGAGCCACUUUAAUUCUUACAGCCUGCUGAAGGAAAAGAAGAAAACCGUGGCUCACCUGUGAAACCUGAGACCUGGAGAGAGCAAUUUAUAAUUGAUUUUAACUGCCAAAUUACUCUUAUAAAAUAAUGUUUCUCACAGUGAGAUGAAUCACUUUCGUUUGAAAAGCUACACAUUUCAACGUAAAUAUAUACUUUGCUUAGUAAGUAUUGAAUAACUGGCUGUCUAGACAGGAUUCCAAUCCAUUGUCUUAGAGGUCUCUUACUGUUUCUUUGUUC
rnacentral:lncRNA from 1 species